AGCAGGAGGAGAAAGCUCCGAGGCGAAAGGGAAACAGUAGUCAGAGCAAGAAGAGAAAGAAGAAAGGAGAGAGGAGGACGGUUGAAAGCUUCUAUUACUGCUGGGUUUUGGAGGCUGUGAUAAAAUCUUCAUCGACGUGAAGACUCACCUCGAGCGACCGUGAUAGAGAGCUCCCGAACCGGCCGCGGGGGGACCUGGCUCCUCCCUCCCGUCCCAGGAG